rnacentral:rRNA from 1 species
UACGUAGGGUGCGAGCGUUGUCCGGAAUUACUGGGCGUAAAGAGCUCGUAGGUGGUUUGUCGCGUUGUCCGUGAAAACUCACAACUCAAUUGUGGGCGUGCGGGCGAUACGGGCAGACUGGAGUACUGCAGGGGAGACUGGAAUUCCUGGUGUAGCGGUGGAAUGCGCAGAUAUCAGGAGGAACACCGGUGGCGAAGGCGGGUCUCUGGGCAGUAACUGACGCUGAGGAGCGAAGGCCAGGGGAGCAAACGGG